rnacentral:rRNA from 1 species
AGACUGGGAUAACCUGUCGAAAGACGAGCUAAUACCAGAUAAGACCACGGGGGCUUUGGCCUCUGUGGUAAAAGGUGGCCUCUGCUUGCAAGCUACUACUCGAAGAUGGGCCUGCGUGCCAUUAGCUAGUUGGUGGGGUAACGGCCCACCAAGGCAAAGAUGGCUAGCUGGUCUGAGAGGAUGGCCAGCCACACUGGGACUGAGACACGGCCCAG